UACGGAGGGUGCAAGCGUUAAUCGGAAUUACUGGGCGUAAAGAGCGCGCAGGCGGUCGUUCAAGUCGCGUGUGAAAGCCCCCGGCUCAACUGGGGAGGGUCACGCGAUACUGAUCGGCUCGAAGGCAGGAGAGGGUAGUGGAAUUCCCGGUGUAGUGGUGAAAUGCGUAGAUAUCGGGAGGAACACCAGUGGCGAAGGCGACUACCUGGCCUGUUCUUGACGCUGAGGCGCGAAAGCUAGGGGAGCAAACGGG
rnacentral:rRNA from 1 species